rnacentral:rRNA from 1 species
CACAUUGGAAUUGAGGAAACGCCCCAGACUCUACGGGAGGCAGCAUUGGGAAUUUCGCAAUGGCGAAAGCUGACGAGCAUACGCGUGAGGAGGAGCUCUGGGUUGUAAACUCUUUCUCUGGGAAGAAACUGACGGUACCAGAGAAUCAGCAUCGGCUAACUCCGUGCCAGCAGCCGCGGUAAUACGGAGGAUGCAAGCGUAUCCGGAAUGAUUGGGCGUAAAGCGUCCGCAGGUGGCAGUUCAAGUCUGCGGUUAAAGAUUGGGGCUCAACCCCGACAGAGCCGUGGAAACUGAACAGCUAGAGUGCGGUAGGGGCAGAGGGAAUUCCUGGUGUAGCGGUGAAAUGCGUAGAGAUCAGGAAGAACACCGGUGGCGAAAGCGCUCUGCUAAACCGUAACUGACACUCAGGGACGAAAGCUAGGGGAGCGAAUGGGAUUAGAUACCCCAGUAGUCCUAGCCGUAAACGUUGGAUACUAGGUGUUGCUCGUAUCGACCCGAGCAGUGCCGCAGCUAACGCGUUAAGUAUCCCGCCUGGGGAGUACGCCGGCAACGGUGAAACUCAAAGGAAUUGACGGGGGCCCGCACAAGCGGUGGAGCAUGUGGUUUAAUUCGAUGCAACGCGAAGAACCUUACCAGGCUUGACAUGUCGCGAACCCUUUGUGAAAGCAGGGGUACCUUCGGAGCGCGAACACAGUGGUGCAUGGCUGUCGUCAGCUCGUGUCGUGAGAUGUUGGGUUAAGUCCCGCAACGAGCGCACCCUCGUGUUUAGUUGCCAUCAUUAAGUUGGGCCACUCUAGAGAGACUGCCG